UAGGGAAUCUUCCGCAAUGGACGCAAGUCUGACGGAGCAACGCCGCGUGAGUGAAGAAGGAUUUCGGUUCGUAAAACUCUGUUGUUAGAGAAGAACAGCGCAUAGAGUAACUGUUAUGCGUGUGACGGUAUCUAACCAGAAAGCCACGGCUAACUACGUGCCAGCAGCCGCGGUAAUACGUAGGUGGCAAGCGUUGUCCGGAUUUAUUGGGCGUAAGCGAGCGCAGGCGGUCAAUUAAGUCUGAUGUGAUAGCCCCCGGCUCAACCGGGGAGGGUCAUUGGAAACUGGUUGACUUGAGUGCAGAAGAGGAGAGUGGAAUUCCAUGUGUAGCGGUGAAAUGCGUAGAUAUAUGGAGGAACACCAGUGGCGAAGGCGACUCUCUGGUCUGUAACUGACGCUGAGGCUCGAAAGCGUGGGUAGCAAACAGG
rnacentral:rRNA from 1 species